rnacentral:rRNA from 2 species
AGUGGAAGCGUCUGGAAAGGUGCGCGAUACAGGGUGACAGCCCCGUACACAAAAGCGCAUGUGCUGUGAGCUCGAUGAGUAGGGCGGGACACGUGGUAUCCUGUCUGAAUAUGGGGGGACCAUCCUCCAAGGCUAAAUACUCCUGACUGACCGAUAGUGAACCAGUACCGUGAGGGAAAGGCGAAAAGAACCCCGGCGAGGGGAGUGAAAAAGAACCUGAAACCGUGUACGUACAAGCAGUGGGAGCACAGGUUUACCUGUGUGACUGCGUACCUUUUGUAUAAUGGGUCAGCGACUUAUAUUCUGUAGCAAGGUUAACCGUAUAGGGGAGCCGUAGGGAAACCGAGUCUUAACC